CAGGGCACUUGUGAUGGCAUCCAGGACCCACCUGGGUAAUCCAGGGUAAUCUCAUCUUGAAAUCCUUAACUACAGCUGCAAAUCAGGUCCUCCACCAACAGCUGUUUAAACGUCACCUUGACCCUGAUGAAAAGAGAUGUCAUUUCUGGAAUGACAUCUGCUGUAACUCUCAACAGACAACCCUGUCUCCCCUCCCUGGAGCAUCAGGUGAAAUCACAUCCUAGGAUUAAGACGCCUCGGCCGAGGAAACCACGGGAAUCUCAUUUGAAGAAGAAUCUGGCCCCUUGGAGCCCCCUCCCCAUUAGCUGGUGGGAGGGUGCCCAGAUUUCAGUCGCAGCCACCGCACCAGCAAACCCCAAACCACAGGAAUGCGCGGGGUCACCUGGGGACAGAGGGAGGGUGGCUGGACAGUGAGUGAGCCCAUGGGCCUGCACCACAUGGGGGUCUGCUGUUCGGCCACACGAGCACUGGACUCGGAGCCCCCAGACCUCAGUGUGACUCUGGACUCUGCCACUCUGGCCUGGGAUCUUGGUGGUCACAUGUGUGGCUAACCACGCUCACCUGGCCACUCCGGCCCUCAGCCAGACUCAGGCCGGGAGCCGAGCUUGGCAGUUGAGGGAAGCCACAUAGGGGGAUGGGGAGCGAGGAGGCCAGGUGAGUGAGGGUAGAAUUUUCUAGUCUCCGGGUCCUGCAGGCUGAGCUGGAGAGGCACCCAGCACUCCCAGGUGCCCUCCAGCACCCGGGAAGGGAACCACAGACUGAUGGCAUCGGUUACGGUAAGCACUGCGCCAGGCAUGUCACAUAAGCCAUCGCUUUUCUUCUUACAGCUGCUUUAUGGUGUGGCUGCCACUCCGUAUUCCCUUUUACAGAUGAGGAAACCGAGGAAGGUCAAGGGACUCAGCUAGCGUAACAAGGUACCAAGGGCAGAGGCUGGGCAGAGGGCAGCCGUCCCCAAACACUGUGUUCUUUCCACACCGCGUCCCUGGUCCCUGGCCUGGCCCUCAGACUUGUUUCUUGGUGGGAUCAAAGUUGAAAUCACACAUGUAAGUGUUUUUGAGCUGGAAUGGACCUGGUGCAAGUUGCCAUUUCGCAGGUGGGGAAACUGAAGCCCAGAGAAGGAAGGCGUUGUGUCCCGAGUCACCCAGCCCUGUCCCCUGAUGCUCACUGGCCACUUGGUUCACGUGGGUAGAGCCAAGUGUCCCCGAAGCCAAGGCUGUCUGCAGUGGCCAGUGGGACAGAGAUUCCCAGCUCUGCAGGUUCAAAGCCUGGCUGUGGAUCUGAUCCCGCCUCUGGUCCUGAGAGUGUGGACAGCUCAGUGCACCUGUCCCCACGACUGUGACAACAACCCCAGGCCCUGUUGACAGGGUUCAGGAGCAUCGGGCUGGUAGGCGAAGGGCUACCCCACGCUGUCUCUCAUCUUAGUAGGUUGUGUCCCCUACAUUGACACGAGGGUGGGAAAGGGUCCAGCUUCCCAUCUCAGCUCAGCCACUGUCCAGCAUGUCACCACGGAGGUCCCCGGAGCCCAGUACUUCGUUGGUUGGCCAUUACUUACUGAGGAUUUCCUGGGAGCAGUCUGGCUGUCUGUGUGCUCGGUGCCGGGGAAAGGAAGAUGAAAUCAUGUCCCUGCCUUCAAGAAGUUGACGGGCUAGUUGGGGAGGCAGAUCUUCAGUUAAACCAUGACUAGUUCAUAGAGUCUUUGCUCUAAAGGAGGAUGUGUAAGGUACGGUGGAAAUCAAGGUGGGCUUUCCAGAGGAGGCAGGGCUGAGCUGGGACUAGAAGGUUAUAGGCCAGGUGAAGCAGAGGUAUUGAGUUUCGAAAGUGGGUCCAGCAAGUACAAAGGAAUAGAUGUGUAUAAGGGGAUUGAGGACUAACUAGAAUAGUUGGAGCAUAGGAGGUGGGGUGGAGGUAAUGAUGGCGUGGGGAAAUUAAGUGGGCUAGGGGGUGACACCAGAUGUGAAAUCCUCACGUAGAGGUGUUUGGACUUCAUCCUCAGGGAGGGAGGAGGCAUGAAGGAUCAUGGGACUGACACAACCAGAUCUGUGUUUCAGAACGUUCUCUGGGCUGCAUCAGAGAUGGCCUGUUGGGGGUGGGGAGGGCAGCCAGGGAGCCAAUGUAGUGACCUGGGUGCAAGGGGGUGAGGCACCCUCAGGCUGGGCAAUGAUGAAGAGGAUGGAGGAGUGAAAAGAUUGGUGGGCUGUGAUUGAUUGCCUGUGAGUGAUGGGGAGAAGGGAGUUGAUUUCUGGCUUGAGUGACUGGGCAAUGGUGGUGCCAUUCAUCCCAAACGUAAACUGGAUUUGUAGACUUGGUGGUGGGGUUGGGAUUCAUAUGAAUUAAGUUCAGGGCCUGAUGAUUUGAGGUGCUCAUGGGACAUCCAAAAGGAGACAUCUGGGUGAUGGCUGGUUUGAUAGAAGGAUUUGGAGACCAGAAGAAAAGUUAGGACUGAAGUUAGAGAUCUUGGGUUAUCACUCCAAAUCAAAUGCAGAUGAGUCAGGGGACUACGGAAUGCUCUGGAAACGGUGCAGGAUGGUUUUGGCAGAAAGGGUCAGUGCCCUGUCCAUGUCCCCUUGGCCCUGCAACCCUGCAGCUCUGCCAGAGGACUUUCUCUGAAGCAGGAAUGUGCCAUAAAAUGAAUCCCACACAUUUUUUUUGGUUCCCACUGCAUAUAAAAUUUAUGUCGACUCGACACUGUAGUCUAUUAAGUGUGCAACAGCAUGAUGUCUAACAGAUAUGCAUACCGUAACGGACAAAUACUUCAUUGCUAAACAAUGCUAACCGUCCUCAAACCUUCAGCAAGCCAUACGCGUGUUUUCCAUGCCAUUCCAUUGCACCUCAUCCCACCAUGCGUUUCAUUUCUUAACAUUCUGGCUGUGGUUCACCGAAUGGGUUGAAGUUUGAACACUGGCCUGGACACUGAGCUGGCUGCCUGUAACCUCGGGAGAGUUUGACUCCCCGCUGAGGCCCCAGGCACAGCACAGUGCCUGCCGCACAGGAAGGUGCUCCCUCCAUAUUUGUUGUUAUUUGUUGCAUGGCCGUGCCAAUAAGUGAAUGAAUGGCCUACCCCACCCAGACAGGAAAGUGUGGCUUUGAUCAGAUUCUUCCGUUGCUGAAAAAAAAAACAGCCCACUUCCUGUGGCUUUGAUCUCCGCUUUCAUUCUGAACUGCCCUGCCUCAGCCAACAGCUGCCCGGAACUCAUUUCCUGCUCUUGGGCCACCUUAUCUCUCUCUCCAAAUACUCCUGAGCUUUCUCUUUCAGGGUGCGCAGGCACACCCCCAGGUCCUCCUCCCCACACCUUUUGGCAACAGGGUGGGGCUGACCUCUUGACUGGGUUAAGUACUUCCCAAAUCUCAGCCCCCCUGGGGUGCAGGGCAUUUCUGGGCCAGGUGUGUCCUUCUGCCGGAUACAGGUCCACAUCCUACUGACGGUCUUUGGGGGCAGGAGAAUGGGGGUGGGGGAUAGACAUGGAUGAAAUAACCAUGCGAAGUCUAAUGAUCAACUGUAAAAGAUGUGACAGAGGAAAAUUCGAGGCUACCUUGAGAAUGUGUGCCCCUGGGGACCAGGGAGGGCUUCCCCAAGACCGAGACAACCUGAGACCUGAAGGUGAUGGAAGUUAAAGGGGGUAAAAGAGAGAGAAAGAGCUGACAGGAGGUGAGAACUGCAAUUGCAAAGGCCCUGAGGUAGGAACAAUAGCAUCCACUUGAACCAAAGAGAACUAAGCGAGCCUGGCUGGUGUGGCUCAGAGGCUGAGCAUCACGGGUUCGAUUGCCGGUGAGGGCACAUGCCCGGAUUGCGGGCUCGAUCCCCAGUGGGGGACGUGGAGGAGGCAGCCAUUCAGUGUUUCGCUCUCAUCAUGGAUGUUUCUAUCUCUCUCUCCCUCGCCUUCUCUGAAAUCAAUAAAAAUAUGUAAAAAAAAGAAAAAGAAAAAAGAAAACUAAGCACUUCUGGUGCCCAAAGAAUGAGGGGCUUACAACCACCGAGGCUGGAGAUUUUGGAUUUAUCCCCAGAGCAGUGGAAAGCAACAGUGUUUGAAGAAUGAUGAUGACACUCUUUAGAAAGCUCAUUUGGCUGCAAUAUGGCUGAAGGAUGGGGUGGUGGUCCAAGUGAGGAAGCUGGGAGACCAGUCGCGAGGCUGUGGCAGCUCCAAGGGGCAUUUAAGGGGGUGGUGGUCAAGGUGCAUCACGUGACUGGCCUUAAGAAAUACAGUAUUUCCUCCGUCAUUUGUUCGUUCAAUGCUUUUAAACACCUACCGGGAGUCCGCUCUGCCUAAGUGCCCUGGGGAGCCAGAGUCAGGCUGGGCUCUGCCUUCAGGCAGCUCGCAUCUCUCUGGGAGGACAAACUAGGGCCAGCGAGGCCAGAGUGUAAGUGCAAAGCGCUCUGGGAGGUUCAGAUGGCACAUGCCCCAAGGCACAGGCCCAGAGGGAGUGUGGGCACCUGUAGCGGGUGCUCUCCUGCAAACACUGUUGGUGAGAAG